AACCCUAGCUGUCCCAAACAAAAGGCGUCGGUGAGAUGGUUCCACCCCCAUGUAGGAUCAGCCAUUUGGUCCCCGCCUGUGCAGCUGGUGGGAGGAGACAUCCCAGCCUCGUGACUGCCUACCAGGAUCCCUUGGGGAAAUCAUAAUUGAGUUUUACCACCUUACAUGAGAAUGGUAUGUCAUUUUCAGGUUUUGGACUAUACACAGCUAGUUCAGUUCUCAGGAACUUCCACUGAGUUCUGUAGAGGAAAAUAAGAGGCUAGAGAUAGAGUGAGCCCUGAGUUCCUGAGGGCUGGGGAAGCUGCAAUGUGCAUAUUUAAGUUUUGUGUGGACACAGACUUUUUCCUGUACUCUGUCUACACAUUCCCUGCUCUGCCGUGAUAUAAAUUUUGCUGGCAUUUAAAUAGUUCUUCUGUUUCUUGGGCUUCUGCAGAUGUAGCAAUGCCCUGCAACUAGAUUCUAUUGAUUUUAGUUACUGUGGUGGUUAGUUAAUGAACAUUUACAUGCCACAGCUGGCUGUCGAUCUUCCUUCUAUAGGCUUUUUAUAGUAAGGCAGGUCAAGCCACUGUUCUACUUGUUUCCAUGGUAAUAGAUGAUAAUGUCACAUUUUCAGAAUUUCUAUUUCUCUGAAGAAUCAAGAUAGCUAAAAAAUUGUUAGAAAAUGAGAAAGCUCCUUUUGAAAAGAAACAUUUUUAGUAAUAGUUAAUGAGAAACUGGAUGGAAUAACGAAAAGGAAAUACAAAGCCACAUUAUUCAUCAGCAGCCCCUUAAGAAAUUUAGGAACUGUGAUUUCCUGAUUUCCAUAAAUUGGGAGCAAAUAUACAUACAGACCAAUCUACUGUUCUGUAACCAAGAUUUGAGGGGGGGGGCAGGAUUUCUCAACUUGUGUCCUGCCAUCUCUACACAGCAUGUAAGUGGAAGGGCCACCCCCUCCUUGUUCUCUUCUUAAACCAUCUCUCAUCUUGGUUCUUGUUUAAGGCCUUCAGAACAGUACUGGACCAGGGACAUCAAGUGGCCUUAUAUCUUAAACAUCUAGUAUUUGGAUUCUGCUAAACCACCAUUCUGUGCUAGAAAGCAAAAUUCCAUUGCAACACAAUGGCAGCUACCCAGCUUUUAAGUUCAAAUUUAAAGUUUUUCAACCAGAUUUCAGGCUCGACAUUUGUGAUUAAGUUUUUGGAAAAUGAGAGAAAACAACACAGGCAAUGUAAUCACGGUAUAUUUCCACCUUGAUGUGUCAUGCCAGUUCUUCCCUCAUGCACCCAUUCAAGCCAUUGUAUGUGUUUUUAAAGCUCUCAUUCAGUUUCCAAAUAAAUACACAAAAGUAUGAUUUUUUUUUUAUUCAAACACAGUUGAAAGUGAUUAAUCAUUUGGGUAGAAAGAAAACAUAACAUAUACUGUAAAAAAUAUAUUGUAAUAAGCUAUAGUUUAGGUUACCAUUUCCUUGUGCUACAGAAGUACCAGAUUUACAAAGUUGUGCUGUAGAUAGUGCUUUAAAGCAUGGCUUUUGCCAUAUUUACUUGGUCAUUUUCCUGAUUUUAAAAUAAAAAUAUGCUCAAAAUAAAGUGUAUUGUUAAUGUCCAUAUUAGACAGUAUCAAACAGAAGCUAAAUCUUUUGUGAUACAUUGAUAGAACACUGGCAGUAAUAUAUCAUUUAUAAAGUAUAAUAGGGGUCGCAUUCAGUUUUAUUUUGGUUAGCGUCCACUUUAGUGAUAUUAAUUUACGUAGAAAUGAAAUAUUUCUAAAAAUAUUAAGAACUUCAUCUGGUGUUGAAGAUCUGGAGAAGUCAAGCUCUUCCCCUGCUAUUACUCCAGGGCUCUUAAGAUUGUAUCUUUGCAAUAUGCCUGCUACCAAAGGAAUGCAGCAGGAGAAACAAUGCAGCAUCUGGGACAGGUGGAUUCUCACACAUUGCUGCUAUUUCUACUACAAUAAGAUACGACAGCACUGCUUGGAGAUCACCCUCCCCUCCACCCCCACCAUUUCACAGCAAGUCUUUGGUCUGACAUACGAUUUGUGUACUCAACCGAACAAAGUUGCAAACAACUAGCCCCAGUACAUCAAAAGGAUCAGAUAUGUCUAGAAAAAGAAGCUCUGAUGGUGGUAGCACUUGUAUCCCUUGUAUUUCACUGGUAGAGUUAAACACUUUGCUAACUCUCUCCUAUAAAUGGGACUUAAAACUCUUAA